GAGGAACACGUGAGAAACCUGCCUUUCAUUCUGGGAUAACACCGGGAAACCGGUGCUAAUACCGGAUACUCCAUCUUGGCGGCAUCGCCGAGCUGGGAAAAAAUUUUGAUGAAAGAUGGUCUCGCGGCCUAUCAGCUAGUUGGUGAGGUAAAGGCUCACCAAGGCGACGACGGGUAGCCGGCCUGAGAGGGUGACCGGCCACACUGGGACUGAGACACGGCCCAGACUCC
rnacentral:rRNA from 1 species